CUUUGAGUGCGUGAAGAGGUGAGAGCAAUUUAUUUCGAUGCGGCCUAACCCCAAGCCACACGAUUUGACCUGGGAAAAUGAGAUUGAGCUCAAGACAAAAUGGUAUCAUAUUUCAGUUGUUAAAUCCAAAUGGGCUUAAAAUGGAUUGCUCAAUCACAAAAAAGAAGAGCAAAUGGAGAGAGCGUUAUUGCGAAACAGUUUUUAUAAUGAGAAGAUCGUGAGGACGAGGAACAAAGUGGCGGUCGUUUCACGCUUUCCUUUAUUAUGUGAAUCAACUACCAGAGUUUCUAAAUAUAAAAAUAUAAUUGACUUCUUAAGUGGUUUCGAUUAUAAUUAUUCAGAUUUUCAAAGAUGAGUAACUAAAGUUUUAUUACUUUUCUGCAUAAAGAGUUGAAUCGUUUCAAUUGAGAGAUACCAUUCAUAGUUUGGGCGGGCUGUAGCCCACCCAAAGACGGGGAAAUAAUUUAAGUGGCUAAUUAAUCUGACGUAUUUAAUUAUGGGUAAUUUAAAUAAACAAAAAAUCAGGAACGAAGAGAUUACAGUCUUAAUUUUUUUUAACGAAUGUAAAGAGACAGCAAGACUGGCUUUGGAAAUUUUCCUAUUUAAAGACAUUUCUUAGUUUUGUUUCCACAGUUGUAUUUAGAUGAUAGACAGAACCAAGCUUUCUCUUUAACCCGUUCUCUUUGGCAUGAAUAAUUUUGCCUGCUUAUGAUGCUUCAAAACGGCCAAUUCUCGUAUCACAAAAAUAGCUCAAUAAUUGGACCUAGGUUGCGGUUUGAACCUAAAAUGGAAAAAUGAAGUUUACCGAAAUGAGCUUAAACCACCAUCUUGGAUUUACAGAGGAAAGGAGAAGAUCAAAAAGGAAAGAAAUUCAAGCAUUACCAUCUUGACAAGUAUCCGAAACUGAAGAGUUAUAUCUUCAUCUUGUCAACCAAUGUAGCAUUACUUGGAGAGCUGAUGUUUAUCCCAUUCAUGUGAUUAAAUAACCAUCUGUAAUAAAACAACCAAAAUGAAAUAUUAAACUUUGUAAAAAAGCAUGGUAUUUAUGACUACUAAAUCAGCCUAAGAAAGGUUCCAGCUUUCCAGAAUAGAAAGAUAGAAGAGAUCGUGGAACAUCCACUGCAGUUGAGAUCAUUGUUGGCUUUCAAUGAAAAGAAAAGUAUGCACAAGAAUUUUCGCUAAUGUUGUAUAAUGCAUUAUAAUAAGGCAUAAUAAUCAUGGAUAAUAGUAAAGAAUAGAAAAAUAAACAAGCAAAAAAAAAUUACUUGUUAUAAAAUUUUAUUUGUUAGUUUAUUUUUCUAU
rnacentral:lncRNA from 1 species